UGCACGGGAGCGCGGUGGAGGGGUGAGGGGUGAGGGGUGGGAGGGGACCAGAGGCGUGGGGAGGGUUUGGAGGGGGGGCAGCUUCUGCAGUUGUCACCGCGUCAGCUCUGGGCAUCUGCCAGAGCACCCCUCCAGGCAACUUCUUCCCACAUUCCCCUCUGAUGGACCCCAACUCUCCUCACGCCUGGCCCGUCCAGCGGGGCACAAAGAAAUCCCAGUCUCUCCGUAAACUUUGCGCUUCCAGUUAUGCCGCCCCCUCCCCUGGCCUCCCCCCUCCCCCCUUCCAGCUUCUUGGCAGGAAGGUUAGGCCACUGGCAAAAUCCUCGGCGAGAGGCAGCUGAUCACAAAUGCCAACUGUGUGUCUUGGGGCCAGUUAAGCCCUCUCAUCUGCCCAGGCUCUCUGGAGACCAUUUCAUUGCUCUCAAGGUUCCCAGGAGACCGCUGCGGACGUGGACCAUCCCCCACUCAGCCCGCACCGAUGGGAUGCUGAGCGGCGUCCUAAAAGUGCUCUUUCUCACCUCCACUUCUCAUGGUAGACUGUAAUAAUUCCGAAUUUGGAGACAGGCAGAUCUUUUUUUUUUUUUUUUCUUCCCUCAAAUGAAAAAAGGAGGACCAUUAGCUAGGUGAUUAGCCCUAGGUGGGAAACGAAUCGUCUCAAAACAGAAUACUAACUUUUUGAGGAAGUCUGUGGAAGUUCUAAAGACCCACCCCAUCCCAUGACCUUUAAUUCUUUUUAGUUCUGCCACAGGGAAGCAGCCAGCGACUAAUAAAAGAUUUGAUCUUGCCAUAAUUUCCCAAGCAGGAAUGGACAAGGAACCCAAUUCUGGACAAAGGGAGAGUUUGUGGAGGCUUUUGGAAGAGAAUGUAGUAACUCUAAUAUUAUACUCAACAGACAAAGAAACAGACAAAAAUCUUCUCUGUGGAGGUUGCUAUGGCUUUGGAAGAAAACCACCUGCAAAGAAAAAUGUAAGAUAGGAAAAGAUACAUUUCCCACUCCCAUCCUUCCUCAGUUUCUUCCUCUCCCUGCCUUAAUAUAUACGUUGAGGAGUUGCAUUAUAAUAAUGGCUCAUAAUACACCUUAAAACAUGAAUUAAUAAAGCAGUUGUCACUGCUGAUACCCAGUUCCUGCACAUAAACCACCUGUGUGUCCCUGUGUUCCAUUCAGAUGCAGUCUUACUUGGUCUACUAGAGACCAAGCCUAUGCUCUUCCCAUUUCCUACAGAGACAAAUGGAUUUCAGGGGCAGGAAUGGCUAGUUCCUGUCGCCCUGUUGCUCAGUUACUUGGUCCUACACACUUACAUCUGCACAGAUAAAAGUAUUACCAGCAAGGAAACUAAGGUUCAGAAUGGAACAUUAUACUUCUUAAGCUCACAGAGUACUGGAGAAGGUGGAAUUCUAACCAUGCAUUGCCUAGGAAAACUGAUGGAGUUUUCCUUAUGCCAUUAAAG